UGAGCAGGCUGGACGGUCGCGGAAUAAAACAAGAGUUUUAUUAUGAGGAAAGUCCGAGCUUCAAAGGGCAGGGUGCCAGGUAACUCCUGGUGAAGGCGACUUUAAGGAAAGUGCAACAGAAAUAAACCGCCGCGCUUAAAGCGGUAAGGAUGGAAAGGCGAGGUAAGAGCUCACCGGCAGCCGGGAGAUCGGCUGGCCAUGUAAACCCCACCUGAAGCAACAUCGACAAUGGAAUUAAGUUGGCCCGACACUCCAUGACUGAUGGCUGGAGCUAUGCAGAAAUGUAUGGCGUAGAUAGAUGACCGUCUUAAAUGACAGAACUCGGCUUACAGGCCUGCUCUCUAC
rnacentral:RNase_P_RNA from 1 species